CUGUCGGCCGGCGCGCUGGCGCGCCUGCCGCUGCCGUCGGCGGGCACCGACGAGCCGGUCGGGCUCGUGCUGCGUACCGAUGCGCAACCGUCGCC
rnacentral:tRNA from 1 species